GACGAACGCUGGCGGCGGGCUUAACACAUGCAAGUCGAACGGAAAGACCCUGCUUGCAUGGUACUCCAGUGGCCGACUGGUGGGUAAGACGGGGGUGAUCUGCCCUCUACUUCUUGGUAAGCCUUGGCAACGGGGUCUAAUAGCUAAUACGGCACACGAUUUGUGGGUGAGAUGGAAGGUUUUUUCGGUCUUGGGUGAGUUCGCGGCCUAUCAGCGUGUUGGUGAGGUAAUGGCCUACCAGGGCGGCGAGGGGUAGACCGCCUGAGAGGGUGGACGGCCACAUUGGGACUGAGGUACGGCACAGAUGCCUAAGGGAGGCAGCAGUGGGGAAGAUUGAACCAUGGGCGCAAGGCUGAUGAAGCGACGCCGCGGGGGGGAUGACGGCCUUCGGGUUGUAAACUCGUUUCGGGAGGGACGAAGCUUUUUGUGACGGUACCUAGAUAAGAAGCACCGGCUAACUACGUG
rnacentral:rRNA from 1 species